GACGAACGCUGGCGGCGUGCUUAACACAUGCAAGUCGAACGGAAAGGCCCUGCUUUUGUGGGGUGCUCGAGUGGCGAACGGGUGAGUAACACGUGAGUAACCUGCCCUUGACUUUGGGAUAACUUCAGGAAACUGGGGCUAAUACCGGAUAGGAGCUCCUGCUGCAUGGUGGGGGCUGGAAAGUUUCGGCGGUUGGGGAUGGACUCGCGGCUUAUCAGCUUGUUGGUGGGGUAGUGGCUUACCAAGGCUUUGACGGGUAGCCGGCCUGAGAGGGUGACCGGCCACAUUAGGACUGAGAUACGGCGCAGACUGCUACGGGAGGCAGCGGUGGGGAGUAUGGCACAGUGGGCGGGAGCCUGAUGCAGCGACGUCGCGUGCGGGAAGACGUCCUUCGGGGUGUAAACCGCUUUGGCCUGUGACGAAGCGUGAGUGACGGUAAUGGAUAAAGAAGCACCGGCUAACUACGUG
rnacentral:rRNA from 1 species